GAUGAACGCUGGCGGCGUGCCUAAUACAUGCAAGUCGAACGGAAAGACGAGGAGCUUGUUCCUCGGUCGUUAGCGGAGGAGGGGUGAGUAACACGUGUAAAACCCCCCUAUCAGUCGGGGAUAACCACGGGACACGGGAGAAUACCGCGGAUAAGAUCUUGAUGCGCAGGGGGGAAUGGAAAGAGACGGCUGUGGGGGAUCGAAUAGAGGGUUCCGCGCCGCAUUGGCUGGUAGGUGAGGUAAAGGCCUACCACGGCAACGAUGCGUAUGCGACGUGAGUGGGUGAUCGGCCACACGGGAGGUGGAACACGGACCAGACCCCUGCGGGAGGGAGCAGUAGCGAACCGUCCGCAAUGGGCGAAAGCCUGGCGGAGCAACCCCGAGUGAGUGAUGAAGGUCUUGGGAUCGUAAAACCCUCUUAUUAGUUAAGAACAAAUGUGUAAGUAACUAUGCAGGUCUUGACGGUACCUAAUCAGAAAGCCACGGCUAACUACGUG
rnacentral:rRNA from 1 species